rnacentral:snoRNA from 2 species
CCCCUCUCAGGGUGGCACCAGGAGAGUUUCCAGUCCUCUACCAGUCUCGACUAUGGGAGGGAGAGCCAAGCGGAGGCCUGUCCAUUCCAUUCCAAGCUUGGCCAGUGGCUAGUGACUGGAAGACAAUCUGCUACAAAC